rnacentral:rRNA from 1 species
CAUUGUCGAAAUCAAACGGAUGGACGACCCGCGAACGGUCAUUGCGUAACGAAGAGGGCCCGCGGGCGCACGACGCUCGCGCGGCUCGCGUCGCGUCGACGUUGGCGUGCUCGAGGCCCGCGUCGUACCGACGGAAAGACAUUGUCAGCACGGAUCGUGCCAAGGAGCUGCAUGGAGGGAUUCGUCGUCCCACGCCUUCGGUCGCCCUGGAUGCGGGACGGGGGGCGGGGGACGCGCGCGAUCUCUGCUCAAGUCUAAAUGACUCUCGGCAACGGAUAUCUCGGCUCUUGCAUCGAUGAAGAACGUAGCGAAAUGCGAUACUUGGUGUGAAUUGCAGAAUCCCGCGAACCAUCAAUUCUUUGAACGCAAGUUGCGCCCGAAGCCACUCGGCCGAGGGCACGCCUGCCUGGGUGUCGUCAAUCCCCGUGCCCCAGGGCGUCGGUCUUCAUGCGUGCGCGCAUUGUUGGCCUGGAAACGCUCGGGCGCAGAACGUGGCCUCCCGUGGGAUCGAAGUCGGGGCGAGUCGUGGCGCGGUUGGCCGAAAAUCGAGCAUGGAGGCGUCGGGCACCACGGCGUUCGGUGGAUCGAACGAGAUCGGCUGCGUCGUGGUCUCGUCGCUCGCUACCCUCCGGGCUUUGACGUUCCCGAGUGCGA